GCAGCUGUAGCUCAGUUGGUUAGAGCGCCUGACUGUGGAUCAGGAGGUCGGUGGUUCAAGUCCACCCAGCUGUACCA
rnacentral:tRNA from 2 species